rnacentral:rRNA from 1 species
AUUGAACGCUGGCGGCAUGCUUUACACAUGCAAGUCGAACGGUAACAGGGAGCUUGCUCCGCUGACGAGUGGCGAACGGGUGAGUAAUGCAUCGGAACGUGCCUAUUUGUGGGGGAUAACGUAGCGAAAGUUACGCUAAUACCGCAUACGCCCUGAGGGGGAAAGCGGGGGAUUCGUAAGAACCUCGCGCAAUUAGAGCGGCCGAUGUCGGAUUAGCUAGUUGGUGGGGUAAAGGCUCACCAAGGCGACGAUCCGUAGCGGGUCUGAGAGGAUGAUCCGCCACACUGGGACUGAGACACGGCCCAGACUCCUACGGGAGGCAGCAGUGGGGAAUUUUGGACAAUGGGCGAAAGCCUGAUCCAGCCAUGCCGCGUGAGUGAAGAAGGCCUCGGUUGUAAG